UACAGAGGUCUCAAGCGUUGUUCGGAUUCAUUGGGCGUAAAGGGUGCGUAGGCGGCGCGGUAAGUCGGGUGUGAAAUCUCGGGGCUUAACUCCGAAACUGCAUUCGAUACUGCCGUGCUUGAGGACUGGAGAGGAGACUGGAAUUUACGGUGUAGCGGUGAAAUGCGUAGAUAUCUGGAGGAACACCGGUGGCGAAGGCGGCAUCCUGGACCGACACUGACGCUGAGGAGCGAAAGCCAGGGGAGCAAACGGG
rnacentral:rRNA from 1 species